UGGGGAAUUGUUCGCAAUGGGCGCAAGCCUGACGACGCAACGCCGCGUGGGGGAAGACGGCCUUCGGGUUGUAAACCCCUUUCAGGAGGGACGAAGGUUCACCGGUGAAUAGCCGUGUGGAUUGACGGUACCUCCACAAGAAGCUCCGGCUAACUACGUGCCAGCAGCCGCGGUAAUACGUAGGGAGCGAGCGUUGUCCGGAAUCAUUGGGCGUAAAGCGCGCGUAGGUGGCCUCGUAAGUCCGCUGUGAAAGUCAAAGGCUCAACCUUUGAAAGCCGGUGGAUACUGCGGGGCUAGAGUACGGAAGAGGCGAGUGGAAUUCCUGGUGUAGCGGUGGAAUGCGCAGAUAUCAGGAGGAACACCAAUAGCGAAGGCAGCUCGCUGGGACGUUACUGACACUGAGGCGCGAAAGCGUGGGGAGCGAA
rnacentral:rRNA from 1 species